UACAGAGGGGGGCAAGCGUUGUUCGGAAUUACUGGGCGUAAAGGGCGUGUAGGCGGUUCGGUAAGUGGAAUGUGAAAUGCUCCGGCUCACCCGGAGUACUGCAUCCCAAACUGCCGAGCUUGAGUAUGGGAGAGGAUGAGGGAAUUCCUGGUGUAGCGGUGAAAUGCGUAGAUAUCAGGAGGAACACCGGUGGCGAAGGCGCUCAUCUGGCCCAAUACUGACGCUGAGGCGCGAAAGCUAGGGGAGCAAACGGG
rnacentral:rRNA from 1 species